rnacentral:rRNA from 1 species
UACGUAGGGGGCGAGCGUUGUCCGGAUUUAUUGGGCGUAAAGGGUUCGCAGGCGGCCAAAUAAGUCAGAUGUGAAAGCCCACGGCUUAACCGUGGUAAGCAUUUGAAACUGUAUGGCUUGAGUUAAGGAGAGGAAAGUGGAAUUCCUAGUGUAGCGGUGAAAUGCGUAGAUAUUAGGAAGAAUACCAGUGGCGAAGGCGACUUUCUGGACUUAUACUGACGCUGAGGAAC